rnacentral:rRNA from 1 species
UGGGGAAUAUUGCGCAAUGGGGGCAACCCUGACGCAGCCAUGCCGCGUGAAUGAAGAAGGCCUUCGGGUUGUAAAGUUCUUUCGGUGACGAGGAAGGCGUGAUGUUUAAUAGGCAUCACGAUUGACGUUAAUCACAGAAGAAGCACCGGCUAACUCCGUGCCAGCAGCCGCGGUAAUACGGAGGGUGCGAGCGUUAAUCGGAAUAACUGGGCGUAAAGGGCACGCAGGCGGCUAUUUAAGUGAGGUGUGAAAUCCCCGGGCUUAACCUGGGAAUUGCAUUUCAGACUGGGUAGCUAGAGUACUUUAGGGAGGGGUAGAAUUCCACGUGUAGCGGUGAAAUGCGUAGAGAUGUGGAGGAAUACCGAAGGCGAAGGCAGCCCCUUGGGAAUGUACUGACGCUCAUGUGCGAAAGCGUGGGGAGCAAACAGGAUUAGAUACCCUGGUAGUCCACGCUGUAAACGCUGUCGAUUUGGGGAUUGGGCCUUGAGCUUGGUGCCCGAAGCUAACGUGAUAAAUCGACCGCCUGGAGAGUACGGCCGCAAGGUUA